rnacentral:rRNA from 1 species
UACGUAGGCAGCGAGCGUUGUUCGGAAUUACUGGGCGUAAAGAGUGUGUAGGCGGUGCUCUAAGUUCGGUGUGAAAUCUCCUGGCUUAACUGAGAGGGUGCGCCGGAAACUGGAGUGCUUGAGCGUGGGAGAGGAAAGCGGAAUUCCUGGUGUAGCGGUGAAAUUCGUAGAUAUUGGGAAGAACACCGGUGGCGAAGGCGGCGACCUGGUCCGAUACUGACGCUGAGGCGCGAAAGCGUGGGGAGCAAACAGG